GUUUUUCUCUGUGUCUCUGUCUCUCUUCCCCCCCCCUUCCUCCUUCCCUACUUUUCUCUCUCUUCCUCCCUGACAAAUGACUUUUCUUGAAUAAUUCUAAGUUUUUCAGAAUGAAUGCAUCAAAUGAUGGCUCCACCAAUGGGUUUCUCAUUGUGCCUAUCUUCCUGAAUUUUUUGCCAUCUUUGCUAACUCUGAAAGAGGCAAAAGAAUCGGAGACUCCAGUCUUACAAGUUUUUAAAGUGUCAGAAGGGUAAACCUCUUACACUCAGUAUUGUGUCCAUGUUUUGCAUUCAGCUCCCCCCAAUACCCCAAGGAACAAGAAGUGACCUUCAGGACCCAGCCCUUUGGAAGCUAAAAUGAAGACUUAUCUGGCAGCCAUGCUGCAUUUGGACAUUAACUUGGUGGGACUAAUGAGAUACAUUGCAACCCACUAUCCCCAAAACUGAGUGGGGAUGGAGCAGAGUAUGUCCUGAGGUACUUGGAAGAAAUAUCUGUACUUUUAUUAUUGCAUGUCUUCAAAGUAAAUUUUUUUUUGUAAAAGUUCAUUUGUAUCAGUUGGCUAAACCAAACUGGUGUAUUAAUUACUGGCAUCAUAGAGUAUAACUGGGGGAUAAAGCUGAUGAUGGUAAGAAAAGAUACCUCAGCUCUAUAGGAAACCCCAGAACCCUAAAGAGGAAGGGACAGUCUUCCUGGCGUUGGGAGAAUGAGUGAGAGCAUACUACUUCCAUAGUGACUGAAGGAGUCUUUUACAUGACUGUUAAUAUUUUGAAAUUCUUCUUUUCAUAAAUGUUUGUUCAUAGUUUUGAACACAUAUUAAAAAUACUCUGAUACGUUUCAGUUAAUCCCCUACAUAUCUGAGAUAUUAGAUUUUUAUUAGAGAUACUUAAUGAAGAGAACUCUCCUUUCUAUUGACAGUUUGUUUUCUUAUCCAUACUAUACUGAUUUUGCUUAAUUGGAACUUUUUAAAAUUACAUGCAAUUAAAUGUUUGUUUUCUUUUUCA